rnacentral:rRNA from 1 species
AACGAACGCUGGCGGCAGGCUUAACACAUGCAAGUCGAGCGCCCCGCAAGGGGAGCGGCAGACGGGUGAGUAACGCGUGGGAAUCUACCGUGCCCUGCGGAAUAGCCCCGGGAAACUGGAAUUAAUACCGCAUACGCCCUCCGGGGGAAAGAUUUAUCGGGGUAUGAUGAGCCCGCGUUGGAUUAGCUAGUUGGUGGGGUAAAGGCCUACCAAGAGGACGAUCCAUAGCUGGUCUGAGAGGAUGAUCAGCCACAUUGGGACUGAGACACGGCCCAAACUCCUACGGGAGGCAGCAGUGGGGAAUAUUGGACAAUGGGCGCAAGCCUGAUCCAGCCAUGCCGCGUGAGUGAUGAAGGCCCUAGGGUUGUAAAGCUCUUUCAACGGUGAAGAUAAUGACGGUAACCGUAGAAGAAGCCCCGGCUAACUUCGUGCCAGCCGCCGCCGUAAUAC